GCCCAGAUGGCGGAAUUGGUAGACGCGCUGGUCUCAAACACCCGUGGGAGCAAUCCCGUGCCGGUUCGACUCCGGCUCUGGGUACAA
rnacentral:tRNA from 1 species